AAUGGAUGUAUCCUAGAUGAUGUUUUCUUCUUCUGUUUUCAAAAUUGCAGCAUCGUAUAUUAGUUGAAAGAUAUAAAAACAGGGGAAAUUGUUGCUCCGAAAGAGAUAUUAAUAAGUUCUUUAUCAAAGGAGGAAGUAAACGAUGUAAUAGGUGAAAUCACAAUUUUAAGAAGACUUGAUCAUAAAAACGUGAUUCCUUUGAAGGAGAUUCUAACUUCUUCAGAUUUUCAUAGAGAAAUUGACAAGGACAAUCGAGGAAAUCGAAGUGUGUUUCUCAACAUGGCAUCCAAUUUUGACCUAUGAGAUUGUGAUGGGAUUCAAGGAUGUUUUCAUUAUUUUAAUGGCGUAAAAAAAGUCCAUUUCCUUCAUUAAACUGACCCUUGGAAAUUAGGUUGUUACCAAUUUUUGUUGUCAGUGCUAUAUGAAACAACUAUUGGAUGGGCUCUGUUAUUGCCGUGCUAAUCAACUGCUUCAACGUGACAUCAAAGGUUUGUCAUCAAAUACUUAGUUGGAUCUUUUUCUUGGUCAGGAUUUUAUUUUUUGCAGCUUCAAUGAUAUCUAUCCUACAUGUAUUUGUGCAACACAUCACAUUCUCAUCAAUAAUGAGGGAUGUUUAAAGCUUACUGAUUUUAGCCUUUCACGUUGGUGCCCCAGUGAUGACAUCAAUGAAGUUAAAUUUGAGGUUACUUCUUUGUAGCAUAGGUAUUGUUAUGACUCUGGAGUUAUCGGACACCCCUA